CCAAUAAUAUAAUUUUAGAUAGGAAUGUGAUCUAUGAAGAAUACCAUAAGAUCAUGGAGCAAUAGAGAGAACAGAAAUUAUUUUAAUAAGAAGUCUUUAUUUCAUUUAAAUAAAUUUUACUUCAUUGUAGUGAAUACCCUUAACAUGAAAUUUACCCUCUUAACAAAGUUUCAAGGUUACAACACAUUAUUGUAGGUACAAUGUUGGAUAAUGGAUCCCUAGAACUUGUCUUUCUAACUGAAGCUUUGUGCCAUUGUUUAGUAACUCCCUGCUUCCCCUUCCUUCCAGGCCCUGGGAACCCCGAUUCCACUCAUUCUAUGGAGCUGACUAUUUUAGAUGCCACGUACCAGUGGAUUUGUGCAGUCUUUCUGUGGCUGACUGAUUUCGCUCAGCAUAAUGAGCUCAAGUUUUGUUCUUGGUGUCACAUAUUGCAAGGCUUCCUUAUUUUUCCAAGGCUGAAUCAUAACAGUCCUUUUAGAGGACUAUUUUAUAAAAAUUAAAAAUAUGACCUCUUAGAGGUCAUAUUUUGAAAAAAAUUUUUUUAGUUGUAGAUGGACGCCAUAUCUUUAUUUUAUGUAUUUAUUUUUUUAUGUCCUGAGAAUUGAACCUAAUGCCUCACACGUGCUAGGCAAGCAUUCUACCACUACGGUGCAACCCCAGUCCCUAUAGAAGGUCAUAUUAAUUUGAGAAUUAAUAGAUAAGAAGUAGCUUUUAGCUUUCAAGGCAAAACUGGGAUGGAAGAAGGUUCUAGGCCACAGGAAAAGUGAGACAAAUCCCUGUAGUAAGAAUGAAUUUGGGACAAUUCAGGAACAGAAUGAAGAUCAGUGUGGUUUUUGCAGAGUGAGUGUGUGUAUAUGUAUGUGUGUGCGUGCGCGUGUCCAGGGGAGGUGGGCUGAGGCUGGGGUGGGGAAGUAAGCAAACAGGACUGAUGAUGAAGUCAGUCCAGUUAGGUGCUGGAUUGUGAGAGGCCUAAUGAGCAUUGUAAAAACCAGGGAAAUGAUGUUGAUUUUAUAGGGUUCAUCACUACUGCACUUACUUUUCAAAGAAAAUGUCCCAGGAAUUUGUCUUCCUCCAUUUUCUGUGGUUGUAAAAAAAAUACCUGAGACUGGGUAAUUUAUAAAGAAUAGAAAUUUAUUUGGCUCAGUAUUCUGGAGGCAGAAAGUCCAAGGUGAUAUUGCUGGCAUCCUGGGGUGUGGGUCUUCUUAUUGCUCCAUGAGGGGGCAGAAGGCGUCACAUGCUGAGAGUGCCAGCAUGCUAACCUGGGUCUCUCCUCUUCUACUUGUAAAGCCGUUAACGCCAUCAUAACAUUUCCAUUCUCAGGACUUCAUCUAACCCUAAUUACCUCCCACAGGCCCCAUCCGGCAUACCAUUAACAUGUGAAUUUGGAGAUUAGAUUUCCAACCCAUGAAUAUUUGGUAGACCUUUAAGCCAUAGCAGGACUGAUAUCUAGAUCUUUGGUGUGAGGUUUUCAAAAGUCAUUCCUUUUCCCUUGUUGAAAGUAGAACAUUAUAUUUGGGUAUCACCCCUCUUUGUCGUGAUUUUUCAAAGACUACCUGGAGAGAUGCUGAUUCCAUACCUGCAAGCACCUCCUGAGCUUGACGAUGUCAUUCAGGUAGGCCUGGAGACCAGGACAGAUUUUUAAUAAGUAAAUUCUUUUUCACCACAUUGUCCCAAAUCUUUGCCUUCACUUCUCUUUUUCGGUAUUUGUACUCUGCACUUUGAAGAUGCCACUUGAGAGAGAAGGUAGAAGUAUAAUAGCCACUGAAUUAAUUCCACUUUCUACUGCUUGUUAAAAUUAAAUCAUUUCCCCCACCUUCUCUUUCUUUGCUUUAUCAAUAUUGGUUUAAUUUUCUACACGUUUCAGCCCUUACAGUGUAUUGCUUUCUAAACAUUGAUGUUUGUAUUAUCUCUUUUCUCUUUUGUGUUUGGACAACGGAUUCCAUGGUAACCAUCUUCCUCCCAGAUCCCCAGAUCACAUUUGGUCAGUCCCUAAGUUACUCUGAAAUCCCAGCUGAACAUUACAGAAAUACAGCUCAGCUUAUUUAAGCCAAAGGAAACUGGACUAGUUUACAUGAUUGGGAAGUUUACUGAUUUUAAGCCUGGUAGAGUCUGAAGUCUUAAAAAUGUUAGUGGGAGUUUGUUUCAGACUUUCAACUUUUUUUUUUUUCAUUCUUGAAAGGCUCUUUUAGCUUGUCCACAACGGGGGUGGGGGUGGGGAAGGAAAAUAGAUUCUGUCUCCUGAUAGUACCAGCAAAAUUCCAGAUAAGCUUUUUAUUGGCCAGGCUCAGUACACAUCUUGGUACUUCAAAUCAAUCCUUAGGGGAUGCAUUAGUCAGCUUUACAUCACUGUGACCAAAAUACCUGACAAGAACAAUGUAGAGGAGGAAAAGUUUAUUGGGAGCUCACAGUUUCAGAGGCUCUGUCCAUCAUGGGCCAACUCCAUUGCUCGGGGCCUGAGGUGAGGUGGAGCAUCAUGGUGGAAGGGCUUGGCACAAGAAAACUGUUCAGCUAUGACAGCCAGGAAGCAUGUGUGUAGGUGGGCAGAUCAACCUGGGGACUAGACAAAUCCUUCUAGGGCAUGCCUUCAGUGGCCUACUUUCUCCUACUAGGUCCCACUUCCCAGUAGUCCACUUGGCGAUUAAUCCAGCAAAUGGAUUAUCCACUGAUGAGGUCAGAAUCCCAAUCAUUGCCUAAGAACCCCACUUCUGAAUCUUGCUGUAUUGGGGAUGAUGCUUCCAACACAUGAGUUUUAUGGGGGACAGUCCAGAUAAAAAUCAUAACAGGGAGAUCCAGUGUUCUCAUUGGUCAGGUGGGAUAUGUGCUGCACUCAAGCCUUUAGCCUGGAAUUGGUAAAGAUGGUUCCUCAUAAGUAGAUCAAGCAUGGUUCUGUUACAAAUGACUGGAUAAUAGGUAGGUGGAAGAUGAUCCCCAUGAUCCCAUGUCUGAUUGCUUCUCCCUUUUAAGUGUCACUUGUAUUUUUUGUGUUCUUCCAGUUCUUCUGCCUCUCCCCUACUUGAGUUACGUAUAAUAUCUUUCUUGGCUUAUGUAAAAGCCCCUUCAUUUGUCUUCCACUUUCUACUUUCUUCAGCACAAUUCACAGGACACAUUUAUAUGAAACUGCACAUGACCUGACCCCCUAUCUCUACCCCCUCCCAGGUGACGUAGUUCUGAAUAUGCCACCAUCUGCAAAGGCCAUGAGACCCAGAAGAAAGUCAUCAUUCAGAGGCAGCAGAGAAGCACCCUGUUUAACAGUGGGGACUGAUCAAACAGGAAGGAGUAGCUACCUUGUACUGGACUAACUGAAGAAUACAAAGGGCCCAAGAACUACGACAUAAACAGAAAGAAUCUACUAUAUGGCAAAGGGAGAGAAACCCAGAGUCCCUUUCAUCAUCUGCAGCCACCUUAUUGACGCCCCUUCCUUUCCUCUCGGGGCUGUAACUCGUAUUUUAGCUUGAAGAACCAGGUGGUGGAGUGAAGGGAAAAACUCACCAAGCUCCCAGCAGUCUGGAGGCUGCUUUGUCUCCAAGCAAGCAAAUCUCUUUGGGGAGAUUGGACUGAAAAGAUCAAGUGACUUCCGCUGCCCAGAAGUUUCAAUUCCAUGAUGAACAGAAUUUCCUCACAGCUUUGCAGACUUCAAUUCUUAUUCUCCCAAGGGUUGGCCUCAUUGCCUCCUCUCCUCUCCCGGGAACAGCAGUCAGAAUUGCCGUUCCCAGGGAGGAGUGACAGCGUUGCAAUUUCCUGGUACGAGAUGGAGUACCAAGGGGAAGUGUGGGGGCCUGGGGACAGGAGAGGACCAGGAGGAGCAGCCCAAGGAAAGAAGCUGCAGCCUGUGCUGCUGAGGAUCCACUACCUAGUUGGAGUGCUCCGGUGUGGUGACUGAGCAGGGGGCUGAGCCCCACGAAAUUCUCUGGGGAGCCAGGUUCCUGAGUUUUGCUGCCCUGCCAUCUACUGGGUGGAUGUCAC